rnacentral:lncRNA from 1 species
AGGACAGGCUCACCGUUGCCAUUAUAAUGCGACACAGACACACAGAAGAAAGGCCACAUGAAAAUAUAGGGAGAAGAUGGUCACCUACAAGCCAAGGAGAGAGGCCCUCAGAAGAAACUGACCCUGCUGACACCUUGAUCUUGGACUGUUAGCCUCCAGAGUUGUGAGAGGAUAGAUUUCUGUUCUGUAAGCCCCCCCGCCUGUGGUGCUAAUAUCUUGGUACUUUGCUUUGGCAGCCCUAGCAAAUGAAUAUGCUGUCCAGUCACAAGCUCUGUCCUUGCAACUGGCUCCAACCUGGGGUUCUCUGCCCUUGAACCUUUCUGAUUCCCCCAUCCCUCUAGAUGCCCCUCAUCUCCAUCUCACAGCUUCCUUCGCCACUUUCUGUCCCCAGAGUGUAAAAUUCCCCAGGCUCUUCCUCAACACUUUUUCUUUCUAUAUUUCCCCGUGAGGAUGAACUGAUGGCCCAUUUUCAUAGAUCCAACUGCCACCUUUAUGCCCAGGAGUCCCAAAUCUAUAGCUCUAGUUUUACUCCCCUGAAAUCCACACAGACUUUCCAAAUGCCUGCUAGACAUCAUGAGGAUAUCUUGCUAAUAUACCCCCCACCAAGCUCAUUGUCUUUUCAUCCAGAUUUUUCCUCCUGCUUCUCCUCCCUCCCUUAAUGCCUUUAUCAUUGCCUUAGUGACCCCUGCUAUGAAAUCAACCAUUGUUUCCUUCUCUUAUCACCCUCUUUCCCCUAAGCCCUAUAACUCACUUCCCGAAGUUUCCUUUACUUUUCACUCUUUCCCCAUUCCCCGCUACACAGACCCAGGAUUCAUCUCUUGCCUAAUAUUUUUCAAUUUCUUCCUAAUGAUUUUCCCUACCUUGGGUUUCAGAUCUCCAUUUUUCAGGGAUUUUUUCCCCUAAAUUACAAAUAAUAUUUUCCUCUUGAAAUAUCUUACUGAUAUUUUGUUGCCUAAUUUAAC